GCGGCACCAUUUGCUCUGCGACUUGGCAUUAAUGAGACACCUAUUGGAAUUCUGCACGCUCCUUAAAGACCUUCUGUGCGGAAAAUCGUUACGUUUACCUUAAUCCUUUGCAAGUGGAAAACCAAACUGGAAUCUUCCCCUCUGUACUGAUUUUUGGGCUUCCUACGGAGCUUUUGGAGCUGUGCAAGUCAUGCUACUUUCAGGACAGAGGUGCUGAGAGGUAGAGAGCUACUGCAAGUGAUACGCGAACGGGAGAGUCGCGUGCACGAAGGGGAGUUCAGUGUCACAGUUUCAACAGGAAUAAAAGGAACAAGGCUCACGUUUACACAAAACCACCCCAGCCAUCACUCCAGGCAGUAUAAGAGAGGUGUCAGCAGCCAAAGGCGCGCCUGGAGGGACCGGGACAGGCAGAAGAGCUGCUGGCUAGGUGAGCUGUCCGGCCGUGCCUUUCAGGCCAACGCUGUCUGCUUCGUGCUGCCGGCACGGCUGCGGGGAGCUGGGGAAGCUGCGGCCCCCAUGGAGCGGGGCAGUCCUCCUCAGCGUGCACCCG
ensembl:lncRNA